rnacentral:rRNA from 1 species
GAUGAACGCUGGCGGCGUGCCUAAUACAUGCAAGUCGAGCGAACAGACGAGGAGCUUGCUCCUCUGACGUUAGCGGCGGACGGGUGAGUAACACGUGGAUAACCUACCUAUAAGACUGGGAUAACUUCGGGAAACCGGAGCUAAUACCGGAUAAUAUAUUGAACCGCAUGGUUCAAUAGUGAAAGACGGUUUUGCUGUCACUUAUAGAUGGAUCCGCGCCGCAUUAGCUAGUUGGUAAGGUAACGGCUUACCAAGGCAACGAUGCGUAGCCGACCUGGGAGGGUGACCGGCACACUGGAACUGAGACACGGUCCAGACUCCUACGGGAGGCAGCAGUAGGGAAUCUUCCGCAAUGGGCGAAAGCCUGACGGAGCAACGCCGCGUGAGUGAUGAAGGUCUUCGGAUCGUAAAACUCUGUUAUUAGGGAAGAACAAAUGUGUAAGUAACUAUGCACGUCUUGACGGUACCUAAUCAGAAAGCCACGGCUAACUACGUG